rnacentral:rRNA from 1 species
AAUAUCAAAGGUGAGCCAGUACAGGAUGGACCCGCGUCUGAUUAGCUAGUUGGUAAGGUAACGGCUUACCAAGGCGACGAUCAGUAGCCGACCUGAGAGGGUGAUCGGCCACAUUGGAACUGAGACACGGUCCAAACUCCUACGGGAGGCAGCAGUGGGGAAUAUUGCACAAUGGGCGAAAGCCUGAUGCAGCAACGCCGCGUGAGUGAUGAAGGCCUUCGGGUCGUAAAACGCUGUCCUCAAGGAAGAUAAUGACGGUACUUGAGGAGGAAGCCCCGGCUAACUACGUGCCAGCAGCCGCGGUAAUACGUAGGGGGCUAGCGUUAUCCGGAUUUACUGGGCGUAAAGGGGGCGUAGGCGGUCUUUCAAGUCAGGAGGGAAAGGCUACGGCUCAACCGUAGUAAGCUCUUGAAACUGGGAGACUUGAGUGCAGGAGAG